CAACCCUCAAGCCCCCGGGCUUGGUUCUGGGGAUCGGCGAACGUCGCCGUCCCCCAAACUCAGUGGCGGUCCCGCCGAGCUUCCUCUGCGUAGUAACUCACCUCGCUCUGGAGACUCUGCGGUCCCACGCCGUAAAACACCCCACUUCUGAA
rnacentral:misc_RNA from 1 species